CACUCCUGCGGGAGGCAGCAGUGGGGAAUAUUGGACAAUGGGCGCAAGCCUGAUCCAGCCAUGCCGCGUGAGUGAUGAAGGCCCUAGGGUUGUAAAGCUCUUUCACCGGUGAAGAUAAUGACGGUAACCGGAGAAGAAGCCCCGGCUAACUUCGUGCCAGCAGCCGCGGUAAUACGAAGGGGGCUAGCGUUGUUCGGAUUUACUGGGCGUAAAGCGCACGUAGGCGGACUAUUAAGUCAGGGGUGAAAUCCCGGGGCUCAACCCCGGAACUGCCUUUGAUACUGGUAGUCUUGAGUUCGAGAGAGGUGAGUGGAAUUCCGAGUGUAGAGGUGAAAUUCGUAGAUAUUCGGAGGAACACCAGUGGCGAAGGCGGCUCACUGGCUCGAUACUGACGCUGAGGUGCGAAAGCGUGGGGAGCAAACAGGAUUAGAUACCCCGGUAGUCCCAUGA
rnacentral:rRNA from 1 species